AUGGCGCUGCCCACCAUGGGCACGGUGACCACGCCGCCGAGUGCUGCAACCGGCAAAAUGCUGGAACCGGCUGAGCCCGGUGCUGCGACGAGGCGGCGAUUUUUGGUGUGGCGAAGUUUUUGCUGGAACCAGGGCACCAGGCAGCAGCGGUGCUACAACCAACAACAAAAUUUGCUGGAACCGGCGCCCGUCGGUGCUGGAACUGGACGCCCCCUCUCACCGUGGACAUUUUUUUUCUGGAACCAACUUUAUGUUUUGCGGGAACUUGCUACUUUUUUCGCUACAUCUACUUCUUUUUUGGAUUUUGCUUCCUGUGAUUUUUACUGA
rnacentral:rRNA from 1 species